AACGCAUAUUGCGCUCUCUGGUAUUCCGGAGAGCAUGCUUGUUUGAGUAUCAGUAAACACCCCUCAGAACUUCUUGAUUUUCGAAUCUUGGAGCUCUGGAUUUGAGUGAUCCCAACGCGUUCUUUCGCAGAACAUGGCGGGCCACUUGAAAUGCAGGUGCAGCUGGACUUUCUUCUGAGCUAAAAGCAUAUUUAUUUAGUCCUGUCAACACUUGUGUUGCGGAUUAUUACUUCUGCUGCAGCUAACAUAAAGGUUGAUUGUUCAAAUGCUGACUGAUGCAGGAUUUAUCAGUAGCGCGAGCUAACUGUUAAACUCGAUCUCAAAUCAAGUAAGACUACCCGCUGAACUUAA
rnacentral:misc_RNA from 1 species